GAUGGUUUUGGGGUGCGCACUCCUCAAGCGCUACCACGUACAGUGCCGGGCCCCAGUGCGGAGGCGUCCGCGCCCAAAGCAAGAGUGUAGACUGGUGGAGGGGUCCCGGAUUUCUCCACAACCCACCAUCAGCGGAGGAGGUCUGAAGAUCGAAGAGGUGGAAAUGACCACUCAUGAAACAAGUGUCCAAACAAGUGCCCCAGAGGAAAAGGACAACUUCCUCCUAGCGCAAACACGCCCUCCAGGACAUCAUAAAAUGACCAGGGAUAUGUGCAUUAUUCAAGGUGCACAACAGAAAAUAUAUGUGCUGAAAACAUCGGAGAAAAGACAAAAGCCUGGAGAUGGGACCGAAUAUGGAAUCACAAAUGUGCUGUCAAGCACAACAAAUUUCACCAUGAGGCAUGAGCUCCAACGUGACAGUGACAAAAGAGCUAGAGAAUUUCAGCACUUUGGAUUGACUCCAAACAGCACUCCUGCAGCUUCCCAGGUCACUGAUCAUGAAGAUUCAUCAGAUGACGCGGACGACGAUGGACCAGCUGAUGAGAUUAUUGAUUUAGAUCGACGGGUAAUGCAGUUUCUUGAUGAUGCUGUCUUGUCGGAUCCAAAUUCAGAUGAUGGAAAUGAAUAUGAAUGCCAGGGAAGCUCAGGGUCCAUUGAGAAUGUACCUCUACUCCAUGAUGAUCCUGAUCUGUUCAAAAUCAGAGAGGCAAAGAUUCGUGGCUGCGGCUGUAAGAACAAGUGCGUUUCUAUCUUCAGCGAUGAUACUUUGUACUCGCACAUCCUAAACAUGAGAGAAAUGUCAAAGGAAGAAAAAGACAUGUACAUCAUGGGAUCGCUUGUGGACAGCUGCAAAGAAACGACAAACCGGGAAAAGAAAAGAAUACGUUUCAGGCAUACUUUCAUGUUUUCCGGGGAAAAGGUUUGCAGAAAUACGUUCCUGCUUGUCUAUGAUAAAGGGAAGCACUUUCUUCAUAAUAUUAUCACCCAUAAGAAUACACAUGGAGUAACACCACGCAAGCAUGGGAACCUAGGAAAGAAACCUAGUCAUUUGCUGCAAUAUGAUGCCAUUAAGUUAGUUGUACAGUUCAUCUCUAGUUAUGCAGAUGACUUUGGGUUACCACAACCAGCUGCCCCAAGAGGAAGAGAUGACACUCCUCCCAUAUACAUUCCAUCCGAUACAACGAAGAAGGACGUCCACAAGAAAUAUGUUGAAGGCUGUCCGAACGACCGACAUGUGCGGUAUUCCACAUUUUGCAACAUCUGGAACCAAUGUCUUCAGCAUAUUAUAAUGGCAAAACCAAGGGGCGAUGCAUGUGCCACUUGUGAAAAGCUUCGAAAAAGUGUGUUAGAUGCAGUUUCAGAGGAGGAAAAGUUGGAGGCAGCAAGAAAGAUGCAGGAACACAUCACAAAUGCACAUACUGAAAGGAAAGUGUACAACGAUUGUGUGAAAAGGUCCCGAGACAAACAGAUUCGUCCAUUACACGUUUGA
rnacentral:sRNA from 1 species